GGGGAGGUUCCCAAGUGGCCAAAGGGGACGGACUGUAAAUCCGUUGGCAUCGCCUUCGUUGGUUCGAAUCCAACCCUCCCCA
rnacentral:tRNA from 1 species